GAUGAACGCUGGCGGUAUGCUUAACACAUGCAAGUCGAACGGACUCUUCGGAGUUAGUGGCGGAAGGGUGAGUAACGCGUGAGAAUCUGGCUUUGGGUUCGGGACAACCACUGGAAACGGUGGCUAAUACCGGAUGUGCCGAGAGGUAAAAGAGAAAUUGCCUGAAGAUGAGCUCGCGUCUGAUUAGCUAGUUGGUGAGGUAAAGGCUCACCAAGGCAGCGAUCAGUAGCUGGUCUGAGAGGAUGACCAGCCACACUGGGACUGAGACACGGCCCAGACUCCUACGGGAGGCAGCAGUGGGGAAUUUUCCGCAAUGGGCGAAAGCCUGACGGAGCAAUACCGCGUGAGGGAAGAAGGCUCUUGGGUUGUAAACCUCUUUUCUUAGGGAAGAACAAAAUGACGGUACCUAAGGAAUCAGCAUCGGCUAACUCCGUG
rnacentral:rRNA from 1 species